rfam:Virgibacillus chiguensis strain CGMCC 1.6496 genome assembly, contig: Ga0104465_111
GAAGACAAGAAGAAGCACCCGCUUCUCACCUGCUCGACGCCUGGUGGCAGUUGACUGGUUCUACCGAUUCAUAUAGACGAUUGGAGAAGUGUGGGUGCCCGUGUUGCCCACGCUUUUUUAGACGU